ACCAACCUCAUCAGAAUCGAAAUCAUCAAGAAACAAAUGAAUAACCGAAUUGCUGUUAUAAUCUAAUUCACCUUGAUGAACUAAUAAAAUACAUAGUAAAAAACAAAACAAAAGUGCAAUCCAUCCCAUGAGUAUAUAUUUGGCAACUUU
ensembl:ncRNA ZC21.17 ncRNA